GUCUACGGCCACGCCACCCCGAACACGCCCGAUGUCUGAGCUCCGAGCUCAGCAGGGUCGGGCCUGGUUAGUCCUUGGAUGGGAGACCACCUAGGACGACCAGGUGCUGUAGGCA
rnacentral:rRNA from 1 species